UCAGAAGUGCCAGAGCCCCAGCCGGCAGUCGUCACUACUGGAGCCUUUGAAGAGCUCAGACAACAGGUCGCCACACUGACUCAGCUGCUAAGUCAAAGAAAUUCGCAUCCGUCACCCACACCGGCACCCCAGGGGGGUUUUAUGGCUGAUGCUCGAGCUCGAGCUCAUGUCCCUGACAAUGGCGGAGCAGGGGCCUCGGGUAUACCACAUGUGACCUCGGCCUCGAGAUCAGUGACCAUGGAGUCCGGGGAACUCGCUAGGAUUAUUCAAGAAGGAAUUACGGCGGGCCUACUUCAGGGCAACAAAGGGACGACAAGAUUCAGUCCCAACACUCCAUUUACUCUCGAGAUAUUAACAUUCCCCUUGCCAGACAGAUUUAAGUAUCCCAGGAUCAAAGAAUAUGAUGGGACCACCGAUCCAAUCAAUCAUCUGAACAUAUACACGGACGUCAUGAAUCUACAGGUUGCACCAGAUCAGGUGAUGUG
rnacentral:lncRNA from 1 species